rnacentral:rRNA from 1 species
AGUUUGAUCAUGGCUCAGAUUGAACGCUGGCGGCAGGCCUAACACAUGCAAGUCGAACGGUAACAGGAAACAGCUUGCUGUUUCGCUGACGAGUGGCGGACGGGUGAGUAAUGUCUGGGAAACUGCCUGAUGGAGGGGGAUAACUACUGGAAACGGUAGCUAAUACCGCAUAACGUCGCAAGACCAAAGAGGGGGACCUUAGGGCCUCUUG